GCCAGCCCGCUCAGAACUUAAAGGAAUUGACGGGGCCCGCACAAGCGGUGGAGCAUGUGGUUUAAUUCGAAGCAACGCGAAGAACCUUACCAGGCCUUGACAUGCAGAGAACUUUCCAGAGAUGGAUUGGUGCCUUCGGGAACUCUGACACAGGUGCUGCAUGGCUGUCGUCAGCCCGUGUCGUGAGAUGUUGGGUUAAGUCCCGUAACGAGCGCAACCCUCGCCCUUAGUUGCCAGCAGUUCGGCUGGGCACUCUAAAGGGACUGCCGGUGUUAAACCGGAGGAAGGUGGGGAUGACGUCAAGUCCUCAUGGCCUUUAUGACCAGGGCUACACACGUACUACAAUGGCCGAUACAAAGGGCAGCGACACUGCGAGGUGAAGCCAAUCCCGUAAAAUCGGUCUCAGUCCGGAUUGGAGUCUGCAACUCGACUCCAUGAAGUUGGAAUCGCUAGUAAUCGUGGAUCAGCAUGCCACGGUGAAUACGUUCCCGGGCCUU
rnacentral:rRNA from 1 species